GACGAACGCUGGCGGCGUGCCUAAUACAUGCAAGUCGAGCGAGUCUGCCUUGAAGAUCGGAGUGCUUGCACUCUGUGAAACAAGAUACAGGCUAGCGGCGGACGGGUGAGUAACACGUGGGUAACCUGCCCAAGAGAUCGGGAUAACACCUGGAAACAGAUGCUAAUACCGGAUAACAACAGAUGAUGCCUAUCAACUGUUUAAAAGAUGGUUCUGCUAUCACUCUUGGAUGGACCUGCGGUGCAUUAGCUAGUUGGUAGGGUAACGGCCUACCAAGGCGAUGAUGCAUAGCCGAGUUGAGAGACGGAUCGGCCACAUUGGGACUGAGACACGGCCCAAACUCCUACGGGAGGCAGCAGUAGGGAAUCUUCCACAAUGGACGCAAGUCUGAUGGAGCAACGCCGCGUGAGUGAAGAAGGGUUUCGGCUCGUAAAGCUCUGUUGUUGGUGAAGAAGGACAGGGGUAGUAACUGACCUUUGUUUGACGGUAAUCAAUUAGAAAGUCACGGCUAACUAAGUG
rnacentral:rRNA from 1 species